AUUGAACGCUGGCGGAAUGCUUUACACAUGCCAGUCGAACGGCAGCACGGGGGCAACCCUGGUGGCGAGUGGCGAACGGGUGAGUAAUACAUCGGAACGUGCCCGGUCGUGGGGGAUAACGUAGCGAAAGUUACGCUAAUACCGCAUACGAUCUGAGGAUGAAAGCGGGGGACCUUCGGGCCUCGCGCGAUCGGAGCGGCCGAUGUCAGAUUAGGUAGUUGGUGGGGUAAAGGCCUACCAAGACGACGAUCUGUAGCUGGUCUGAGAGGACGACCAGCCACACUGGGACUGAGACACGGCCCAGACUCCUACGGGAGGCAGCAGUGGGGAAUUUUGGACAAUGGGCGCAAGCCUGAUCCAGCCAUUCCGCGUGCAGGACGAAGGCCUUCGGGUUGUAAACUGCUUUUGUAUGGAACGAAAAGGAUCUGGCUAAUACCUGGGGCUCAUGACGGUACCGUAAGAAUAAGCACCGGCUAACUACGUG
rnacentral:rRNA from 1 species